CACCGACGUCCACUAAUGGCCUUCCUUUAAUAGGCGAAGACUAAUCAUAUUUUACAGUGCUUUCUCCUUUUUACGAGUUUAGGAAAUAACCCUUAUAAGUCUCACACCACUCUUGAAUGAUAUAACACUUAGAAAGGGAGGAGGAGUACUUUAGCACUUUUACAAUACUUUAACACUUCGAAGACUCAAGAUUAUGCCAAUACUUU
rnacentral:lncRNA from 1 species